rnacentral:rRNA from 1 species
UACGUAGGAGGCAAGCGUUGUCCGGAAUUACUGGGCGUAAAGCGCGUGUAGGUGGUGGGACAAGUCUGCUGUGAAAGCGCCUGGCUUAACCGGGCGAGGUCGGCGGAAACUGUCCGACUCGAGGACGGUAGAGGGGGGUGGAAUUCCCGGUGUAGUGGUGAAAUGCGUAGAGAUCGGGAGGAACACCUGUGGCGAAGGCGGCCCCCUGGCCGGCCCUGACACUGAGACGCGAAGGCGUGGGGGAGCGAACGGG